rnacentral:rRNA from 1 species
AUGGCCUGUUUUAAGCUACCACGUGGUCUAUGUGAGCAUAUUAACAGCAUAAUCCGAAAGUUUUGGUGGGGGAGUAAGAAUGGACAAAGGAAAACAGCUUGGGUGUCGUGGAACACAAUGACAAAACCCAAGUUCAUGGGAGGACUUGGCUUUAGAGAUGAACUUUUUAACUUGGCUCUACUCGCCCGACAAGUUUGGAGAUUGUUACAGGAACCUGAUACGCUCAGCGCGCGAGUACUUAGAGCUCGUUAUUAUCCCGGUGCAAAUAUCCUGGAUGCCUCUUUGGGCCAGGCCCCCUCCCAGGUCUGGCGAUCUCUCUUGGAAGGACGGGAUGUUCUUUCUUUGGGCCUCAUUAGAAGGAUUGGGUCAGGAGCGGGCACCCGAAUUUGGAGCGACAAUUGGCUGCCGCGAGACUAUAAGCUCCGGCCGAUCUGUGCAAGAACGGCUGAUCCACCCACGAUGGUUUCUGCUCUUAUCGAUCCGGUAACACGAUCUUGGGAUAGGUAG